ACCUUACCAGGGCUUGACAUGCCGUGAACACAGGUGGUAAUGUCGUGAACACAGGUGUGCAUGGCUGUUGUCAGCUCGUGCCGUAAGGUGUUGGAUUAAGUCCCGCAAUGAGCGCAACUCUCGUGUAGUUGCCACAAUUGAGUUUGGAACCCUCACAGAAUUCAUUUUGGAGCAAAUCCAAAACACUAUAUGAUAUCUUUGAUGUAUCCUUCAUAUGAAUUGA
rnacentral:ncRNA from 1 species